AAGAAAUUAGUUAAUUCAUAACGUUAGUAUGUCAUACUAAAAUAAUUAAACACUUAAUAUUUCUUU
rnacentral:tRNA from 1 species